UUAAUUCCUCCAACUCCUGCUUCCCUGUGCUUCCAUAGGUUUGUUCUUGUUCCUUAAGGGCCUCUUGAACUCUCUGGAUUGCUGCUCUGGCAUUUUCAACUUCUGUACGAGCAAGUGUCCUUUCUUCUUCAACCACUUUCUUGGCGUCUUCAGAUGCCUGCUUCAACAAGGUUGCUAGCCUUCUGAGUUCCACUUUUUCAUGAAUCAGCUCACCCUCUCUUUGAG
rnacentral:misc_RNA from 1 species